rnacentral:rRNA from 1 species
UAAGUAGAAGUUAGGUUGCCAAGUCGAAGCGAAGAAGACAAAGACGCAGGAGUUAGGUUAGGUCAUCGGUGGCCGGCCGGCUACCGCCGCUGCCGACGCCGCAUGUCGACGAGCCGCCGCCGCCGCCGCGACGGCAAGGGCCCCUCGGGGAAGCGGGCAGCGAGCGGGGGCAGGGCGCAAGUGGAGCGGAGGAGGUUAGGGUUCGAGCCCUUCGGGCAAGGGUCGGACUCUCGAAGUAUAGCAGCUUCCGCUGGCGUACAGGCGCGCACGAGGUCGCUCCAACUAGGCCUGCGGAGCCGUCGCAGUGGCCGUCUUCGAUCAAAACUAUAUUUCGAAGGAUCUUCUUCGAACGAACAAGUCAAAUGUACAUGAUUUACACUACGUUCCUGUCUCGCAAACUAUUUGUCCCACCGGAUACUUUCUCCUUGGCACAAAGAAGUCACGCGACCCACGGUCCACAUAGUGUUCAAACAACUGUUAGAACCGGAUUAACAGCUCAUACUGGAUGCUCUUCUUUUACCCCACUUGUGAACACGACUUCUGACUAAACCUUACACAGUAUCUUCGGUCCGUACGAUUCAAAGGAGAUUUAUAUGAUCCAAACUCAGAACUGUUGUAACUGAUAAACUUGGAACAUCUGACGAAUAUAACUUGUCAUAAACACGUAACUUUAUCGUCGAAUGAGUCAAGUAUUGACCCAAAUAUACCUGAGUUUAUCAUAGUGUUAAGUGUUAUGGUCUAAUGGAAUAACAAUGGUUUUUAACGAGAGUAAUAUCUUUUUGCUAUGUAACAACGACCUUCAACGACCGUGAUUAACAUACUAUAAGCGUGACAUACGUGUAGUAGUAAGAAACGAGGGUAGAACAACUAGAACUAACAGACCUUGUAGUGAAAAAAGAGAAAAAGAAGGAGAAACCGGUGGACGAGGUGUAAAAGACAAAACGGUCGCGGUAGAAAGAAAGGGACCUCCUUGACCUAUUCAUUCUAGAAGCUCACACUACAGAGUACUCGUGGAGACGAUGGAGACGACCGCUGGAGGAACUAGUAACUACAAAGGUUUUCGAGAACCGAUGGUCUUAUACGAUGAGGGCAACUUUACGUCUACCUUAAUGUAUUAGAGUACCUAAUUAUACGUUCCCGUUCCCCUUUUACUUACGUGUUCAUCUGAUGUAUGUAUGGAUUCCGUCCAGAUAUGAACAAUUUCAAAGAACCAGUCACAUCCGCCGCGUGUGAGACCGCCACAACGGUACCUGGAUAUUAAAGGUCAACUACUCUUCCUUGGCUUAGUAAAUGGUUAAAGGUACCCGACUUGUUUCUAUCAUUUUGUCCCCCGGAGAAAGGUCGCUUCGUUCACACGUGGUCAGGAAAAAUCAUGUCUUUUAGUACCAUUUUGAGAAACGUCAAGUACACAUUUGGGUUUUGUUACAUUACUAUGUAAGUAUUUUGAGAAACGUCAAGUACAUAUUUAGAUUGAACUUCCUCAUAACAUCGAAAAAAACAUUUAUGAAUAGAUAUCAUCGG